AUCGCCUCCCGACCCGUCAAAUAUGGGAGGUCCCGCCUGCCCUGUGAUUUAAAUUUAACGGCCGCGGUAUUUUGACCGUGCAAAGGUAGCGCAAUCACUUGUCUCUUAAAUGGAGACCUGUAUGAAUGGCAUAACGAGGGCUUAACUGUCUCCCCCUCCCGGUCAAUGAAAUUGAUCCCCCCGUGCAGAAGCGGGGAUGCUAACAUAAGACGAGAAGACCCUGUGGAGCUUUAGGCAGAAAAUAGUGCCUGUAAAGAUAGCCUGCCAGCAUUAAACAGAGGGCACCCCUAUUCACAUGCCUUUGGUUGGGGCGACCGCGGGGAACACAAAACCCCCACGUGGAAAAAGAACUUCCUCUUUAAACUAAGAGCUACAGCUCUAAGAAGCAGAAUUUCUGACCAGAAUGACCCGGCAAUUCUUCCGCCGAUCAACGAAACUAGUUACCCCAGGGAUAACAGCGCAAUCCCUUCCCAGAGCCCAUAUCGACGAAGGGGUUUACGACCUCGAUGUUGGAUCAGGACAUCCUAAUGGUGCAGCCGCUAUUAAGGGUUCGUUUGUUCAACGAUUAAAGUCCUACGUGAU
rnacentral:rRNA from 1 species